UACAGAGGGUGCAAGCGUUAAUCGGAUUUACUGGGCGUAAAGCGCGCGUAGGUGGCCAAUUAAGUCAAAUGUGAAAUCCCCGAGCUUAACUUGGGAAUUGCAUUCGAUACUGGUUGGCUAGAGUAUGGGAGAGGAUGGUAGAAUUCCAGGUGUAGCGGUGAAAUGCGUAGAGAUCUGGAGGAAUACCGAUGGCGAAGGCAGCCAUCUGGCCUAAUACUGACACUGAGGUGCGAAAGCAUGGGGAACAAACAGG
rnacentral:rRNA from 1 species